rnacentral:rRNA from 1 species
UACAGAGGGUGCAAGCGUUGUUCGGAAUUAUUGGGUGUAAAGCGCGUGUAGGCGGCUUUGCAAGUCGGGUGUGAAAGCCCUCAGCUUAACUGAGGAAGUGCGCCCGAAACUGCAUGGCUUGAGUACCGGAGAGGAUGGUGGAAUUCCCGAAGUAGAGGUGAAAUUCGUAGAUAUCGGGAGGAACACCGGUGGCGAAGGCGACCAUCUGGACGGAUACUGACGCUGAGACGCGAAAGCGUGGGUAGCAAACAGG